rnacentral:rRNA from 1 species
AUGAGCUGCCUAAGUUGGAACUGCCGGGGGCUUGGGAACCCCGGGGCAGUUCGAGAGCUUUGCAACAUUGUGAAGCAAGAAGCGCCCGGUCUCCUGUUUGUUAUGGAGAACAAGAUAGCUGCAUCAAGAGUAGAAAGCUUGAAGACCUCUUUGGGGUUUACAGGUUGUUUUGCAGUUAAUAGUGUGGGUCUCAGUGGAGGGAUUGCUAUGUUUUGGACGUCUGAGCUAGAUGUUGAGCUAAAGAACUAUAGUUCCGCCCAUAGAUGUUAUGGUGCGGAGGGGGAAUAA